rnacentral:lncRNA from 1 species
AAACCCUUAUCUGUUUGUGCGACCACCGUUCCAUUCGCCAUCGGCUGUGACAUUGUCGAGGAUUCGCAGGCCUCCCCUGUAGCUCUCUCUGGUUUUUCCAUUGUGACGCAUAUGGUAAGAUUUUUAAACCAAUUUCAUCACUGUUUCCAUGCAUAGUUAACAAGAUGUGAAACUGGACUUCAUGGAAUUGAUUUCUUUGGUGAUUAAGCUGAUUUCCCCUAAUUGAUUCUAGCAUAGUAGCAUUUUUGAAUAUUUUCUUAGGUGUUGUAGUGACCAAUUAACCUUAUCAACCUCUAGCAGUAACUACAAUAGCCAAAUAGAAGACAAAAAUGCCAUUACUUCUUCUGUUGGUUUAUUUCCCACAACUUCACCAUACUUCUAUUCUGAUGCCAAUUUUGCUUAUAAUGAGUGUUUAUCGAGAAUAUCUGAAAUCUAGAACUAGGCGCCAAAAAUAUAGAGAUUAGCAUAAAUGUGGUGAGGAUUGUCUAGUUACGAAUUUGGGACUGGUGUGGCCUAAUUCAAGGUUUGCUUGUGGAUGAUGGUACCUUGUAAACAACUUAAUUUACUUGUGAAUCUGAUAUGUUUGUUGAUAAUUGAAGAAGCAGAUAAGUGGUAGGAUUUAGAAAUAUUAGAAGUGGAAUGCAUGGACUAGUAAAACCGUAUGGUUUAUUACAUUGAUGGUUAGUACAACACUUAAGUCUUAGUGUUGCCACACAUACAUGGUGAGGCACUAAUGCCUAUUUAUAGCUGGAGUCACCGCCUUGAUUUUGGCGGUUUAUUAUAUGAUACAAUUGGAUCAUUCUAGAGUUUAGAAACAUCAAAAUAGUCUAUGUGCUUUCUAUAAUAGUGUAGAUUUUAAAAGAUAAUUCUAGAAAUUUGCAUCAAUUCUUAACAAUGUUUAACCUCUUACAUUUUCCUUCAAUGUAUACAUCUUAGCAAGCUAUCUCUAUGGUGGAGAUUUUGUAUGAUAAUUCGAUUAGCUCAUUAAGUUAAUUCAAUCAUGUUUCUGGGAAAUAACUUUUUGGUAUUUAAAUUAUUUCUGUAGCAUAGUCUUUAGGUUGAUUCUACUGCUUAAAUGAAAAUAUUCUGUCUGUGCUUUUUCCUUGCUUCAACUUGGGUGUGUGUUAAAAGCUUGCUCCUGUGGAUGUUGACAUGGCAAGGUUCUUGCUAACAAUCAGAAAUGUUUAUGUGCUCUUAUUUUAAAUGGUUGAACUCACUGGACAAGUUUUUGAAGUAAUAAAGUAAGAAACAAUUUUUUUAAAAAGGAUAUAAUUCUUGAAGAAGUCAAUUUAAUGUGAAGCUUAAAGAUUAGGAGGAGUGAUUUCAUUUGAUUAGCUCAUAGUUCUGAGUUUAUCUAAUGCUGGUUAUAGGUAUUAUGAUUACAUUUACUUGUAUAGACUGACUAAUUUAUUUCCUAUAUACAUUAGACCCCCAAAGUAUAAGCAAGAUAUCACACACACAGAAAUGGGGAUGAUGAGAAGAAAAAGAAUAUUGUUUUUGUUUCUAAUGACCAGAUGAGGAAUUGGGUGAAUGAGAUAGAACAUUAUGCUAUUCUGGUCAACAUACUGGUCUGGUCAAAUCUAAAAUCUUGUAGGCCACCUUUGAUCUGGGGUCUGUUAUGAUCGUGAAAGAUUAGCAAACCCUAACAUUGGUAGUUGCUUUGUUUCUUUGUUGGUUGUAUGUUUCUGGCUUCUUUUGAUAUGAAAAUAUUAUUUUUUGCAAGAGUUAAUCGCUUUAAUAUUUUUUUUCAGUAACACCUAGCAAAUUGAAAUGAGAGAGUUCUGCUUUGAAUUAUCUAUUUGGUUGGCAGUAAUUAGUAUGUCUAUGAAAUUUAACUUUCUCUGUUUUCCUUGGACUUCAUGGCAUAAGAAAAGUUCACAUAGGCGGUUAAAAAGGCAUAAAGCCACAUAAAAAUUAACUUGAACUCUUUGGCAUUUAAUUUAUCUUCUUUUCUACUUUCAGUACUCUAUGAAGACCCGGAACUUUAAAAUUAGAGCCACAUGGAAAUUUCAUCAUCCUAGAGACCAAGUUGGGAACUGAGAUCGCUGGAAGAGUUGCCUUAAGCAUUUUCACUGUGGUGUGAGAGUGUUGGCGGUUCACAGUCAAUGAUGUCAUGCUCAUAUCAUGGUCACUUCGGGUAAUUAACUUCAAAUAUUUUCAUUUUCUAUUUGCUUAUAUAUAGUUUCAUGAGAAUUUCUCAAAACUUAUGAAAAAGAUGGGAGUGUUUAGGUCACGGGUUCUUAAAUUAAGGUCUUGUUUUCUAGUUGUCGGUAUGUUUGGAUUGACAGAACAUAACAGAGCAGAACGAAUUGAAAUAUAAUGGAACAGAUAGAGCGGAAUGAAAUGGAAUAAAAAUCUCAUCCCAUUGUUUGGGUAUUUUAUGAUAACACGAAACAAAAUCACCACUCCCUUAUUUGGAUAAUGGACGGAGCGGAAUGAGUUAUAACUUUUUUAUUCCUAUAUUACCUUUCUUUAAAUAAUAAAAUUCUCAUUAAAUUAUUAAAAUGAUUAACAAAAUAAUUUUUUAGAGGAAUUAACAAAAUCAUUAUCCUUGCUAAACUCUCAUUAUAUCUAUUUACUCAAAUUAAAUUAUAUCCUCAUCAUUUAUCUACAGUAAACUAUACUAGUAUAUGCCAAUAUUUUUUUAUAAAACGUACUGAACAUAAUAGAACACUAUCGAAAAAAGUAAACGAAAAAUAAAAGAAUGCAACAGUUGGAAAAAAAAAUAGUUUGUUGACAAAUAAAAGAAUAUGUAUACAUUAGUAUUAAUAAUUAAAUAUGAACAGUAUCAUUAUAUUACCUUUCGUAAGCUGUAAUGUUUUAUUUUUGCUAGAUAUGUUAAAAUAAUGUUGGAACUUGGUUGUUUGUGUGAGGGGAGAGAGUAGAGACUCACGGAGAGAGAGUGGGAGAGAGUGGGAGAGACUAUUAAGUUAAGGGCUAGAAAUCUAGAAUUGUAAAUUGAUAAUUUUUAUAAGUGUAAAAUCUUGAUUUCAUCCCAUACCUUCCAAAUUGAGGGAAGCAAAAUGAUGGAAACUAAUCUCAUCUCAUUUCCAUCUCAUCCCACCUUUUCAUAACAUAUCCAAACAAUAGAACAUAAAAAUAUUUCACUCCAUCUCAUCUCACCCCACUCCCUGCCACCAAUCCAAAUAUAGCCUAAUGAUGGCAUAGUGUAUAUUUGACUGUGGAUAAAUGAUGAAGAUAUAAACUAAUUAGAGUAAAUAGAUAUGAUGAGAUUUUAGCAAGGUAAUUAUUUUGUUAAUUAUUUUUGUAGUUUAAUGAUAAUCUUUUAUUUUAAAGCAAAGGUAAUGUAGGAAUUAAAAAGUUAUAACUCAUUCCGCUCCAUCCAUUAUCCAAAAAGGGGCGUGGUAACUUUAAUUUGUUAUGUUCCAUCAUUAAAUACCCAAACAAUGGGAUGAGAUUUUUAUUCCAUUCUGUUCUGCUCCAUUAUAUUUCAUUACGUUCCGCUCCGUUAUGUUUCAUCAAUCCAGCCUAAAUGUUUGCAUAGAUUAACACAUCACGAUAGCAAAAUAACAAUAUAAGGAACAAUGGCUGAAAAUGGUGGGUGGAUGGUUGACCAAAAAUAUGUAUACUGCAUGUUUGCACAAACUAUAUAUUAAUUAAUCAGGUUCUAGUACUUUUUGAGAUAAAUAUGUUGAGAUUGAUACUUUGAGACACUAUUACAACACUAGUAGCAGAUUAGGUAGACCAUCACAACACGUUCAACAGAGGAAUAUGUAGCAGCAAAUGCUAGGAUAAGCUAACUUCAAUUUUAGAAUUGAGAACUUAAUUUUCAAGUAUACACUAUUUGUUCCCCUUCUUCAUGUAACUUUUGUCAUGGACAUGAUUAAAGUUGUAUAGUGCAAUUUCUCAAACUCAAUGGCUUGUGAAAUCUUGUGUGCAAACCUUGAGAAUAAUUCAUCCAUGAUACCUUUGCCAAAUGCGGCAGAGUAAAGUGGUUCCACGACGGAUCUGAGGGUCUUGGAAAUUAACUCUCCUUUAAUUUUGGUAUCCAUGUCAUGUGGAAGGUGUCCAUCCAAACUUAUUUGGAUAGUUUUCAGUGUUUGAAGGGUAAAAGAUCCUUCUGCCUCAAUUAUUUGUUUGACUUCCUCCACAGUAGGAAUAUAUAUAGGCAUAUUAAAGCAAUCUAAUUUAGUCUCUUCAAGCAAACCCUGCAUUUAUAUUAAUUUAUAGGGAACAAUAUUAGUUACUACCAAAUAGGAAUAACAUGUUAUAAACUACAGAAAAACAUUACAUUCCAGUUAGUUUCUUGAAAAUCUAGUAAUAAUGGUAAUCAAAAUUGUAUUCGUUGCAUACCUCCAAGACCAUGUCCUUCAGUACCAACUCAAUUAAGUCCUGCGUAGUACCCUUUUCAAAUGCAGCAUUUUCUCUUCCCAGUAAAGAUAGUACCAUACUUCCAUCAAGUGUUAGUUCGUUCGAACGUGAUCGAAGAAAUAGAUUGAAAUCUCUUUGGAAUUGCUCAAAAUAUGCUUUAUACACUAUUUUAGGACUUUUGAUUGUUAAAUAAAUAUGACCCUUGUUCAGUGGUUCUGCCCCUUUAGUCAAUUCUUCUGGAGACUGUUCCGGAAAAAGCAAUAGACACACACAAAUGAUAUUAUUUUGUGCUUUGCUUCACAAACACAACUUUAACAACUUUAAUAUAUAUAUUAAUAAAUACCUGCGAGAGCCAAUGAAGACUAUUCGAAGAAUGAAAGAAAUCGAUGUAAUUAUUAGGAAAGAGCCUCCCAUAGAAGUUCCCUGGAGUUGCAUUUAUAAAGCAUGCUCCAGCUUUGUCUCCCCUAUCUUGUAUCUUUUGGUAGAAAUCAGGAAGUAACUUGAAGAUACCAUUAAAAUCGUUUCCAAAAAGAUCACUAAGAUAAACUUGGAGUAUGGGCACCUCUUGCUUUGAGCCCAAUCUAGUUGUGUUGAUGACGCUCAUUAUAUCGGACACGACCAGAAGUGAAUUUGGUCCUGAAGAGCAUCCUAAAUCUGCCACUUUCAAAUUACUUUUAAAAGUGGUGUGAUGCAACAAUGUCUUAAUACUUUCUUCUAGUAUUGACUUCAUUUCAAAUAACACUUUUCUCUGCAAUAAAAAAAACUUGGUUACAACAAUGACGACGCCAACAAUAAUAAGCCAAAUGUUAUCCCAUAAUCUUAGGGACAGCUGUGAUAUAAAAAAUUCAAAAUGAUGAUCUGUAGGUUAUUAGCUGAAUCUGUUUUAUUUUGGCAUUCCUUGAGAUUUUCUCUAUGGUGUUAUGAUGUUAUAGGGAUGCCAUUUUAGAAACUGAGGUUUAUUUUGAAAUUUUUUGGGGUGGUGUUUUGGAUGAGAUUUUAUUGUAUAAGGUUGUAUAUCCGUCAUGAGAAUGGUUGUUUCUCAUGUUCUCUUAAUUUUAUGAAUAUAACUCUUGCUUUAAAAAGAAUUAUUUUUCAAUAAAAAAUUAUAUUUUCUAUAAUUUUUUUACCAGAAGUUCGAGGGAGAGUAGAAGUAGUAACAAGAAGAGAAUGCAUACAAUGGAAAAGUUCAAGGGAGCAUAUGAUUAUUGAGUAGGCAGCUGAGGUUCUUUCUCCCUUGAGAAAUUAAUCCGGUAAGUUAAAUAUUAAUUCGAUCUCUUUACUUACUAUUGACACCAAAAUAUUGGCUGAUGCAGAAUGGUUGUAAACUAAUUUAAUCGAGUCAAGGUUAGCUCAGAGCAGACAAGUUUAUUUUUUAUAUGCUAAAUAAUGAUAUUAAUGUGGAGCACAAGGGGUGCCCCAUCCGAUACAAAGGAAAAACAAAAGUCUAAAUAACAAGAAACAUCCUACAGCGUUCAAAUGAAGUAAAAAUCACAUACUCUAUAAAACUGACACAUUUCAACGGGCUUUGCCAACAAAUGAGAAGCGUUUUCGGAAUCCUUUGAGCUCUACGGCAGCAUGCUCCAGAUGUGGUUCCGAUUCAGAGGAUGCCAACCAUGUUUUUUGAGGAUGCCCUGACUCGCAGAACUUGUGGAGGAGCCUUGGUCCCUUGCUGCCGCGGCUUGACACUCAUGGGGACUUUGGAGCUUGGUUUGAUAUGCUUCUGUCACGUUGCAGCAAUAUUCUUCCCUUCGCAGUUUUAUGGUGGGCUUGGAAGUGGCGCAAUGAGUCUGUGCUAGGCACAAACUCAUGGCCACUGCAGUAUGUCCUAAGGCAGAUUAUAGUGGAUGCUCAGAGCUGGAAUCGGUGGCCUAACGCAGCGCCGAUUAGGCGUGUGGAACCAACGCCAGCACCCUUGGUGGCGAAUGAAGUGCAGCUGCACGUAGAUGGAAGCUGGAAUCCUGCUGCUCAGCGCAUGGGCUACGAGGCUUUUCUUCAAGACUCGAAUGAAAACUGGCUAUCUGGAGUGUCUGCAAGCAUGGGUACGGGGUCGUCGUUUCUUGUUGAGUUAUUAGCAAUGGAGCACGGGCUCCUCCAUGCUUGGAGUCUUGGUCACCGAGCUGUUCUUUGUAUGGCAGAUUGCAGGCAAGCUGGGGAUAUUGUGCAGCAGGAAGGAGAUGUUUCCAGUUAUUGGGAGAAGGAUGCUAUCGUAAGGCUCAGAGCUUUACUGAGCAGAAACUGGCAUGUGAGGCUUGUAUGGAUCCCUCGUGAGAAGAACUCUGCUGCAGAUACUAUGGCUCGGCAAGCAGUGCGUGACGGAGCAGGGCAUCGUGUUUGAGCCCAACCUCCUUUGGGUGUUUUGACAGCAUUGUAUGCUGAUAGUUUAGUGUAGCCCUUGUUUUAUUUUUCCUAUGUAACCAAAAAAAGUAUACACUAACACUGACUAUCCCUGUAACUUAUGAAUUGCCAGCUAGAGCUCAAUUUUGAGAAUGUAGCUGAUGAAGUGGGGAGCCGAAAGUGACAAGCUUUGCGUACGAAAUUGGACAAGAGCUCAAUUUUUAGAAUGUAGCCGAUGAAGUGGGGAGCCGAAGAGACAAGCUUUGCGUACGAAAUUGGACAAGAUAUCUUUCCAAGACUUAGGAUAAUCUAUAAAUUCAUAAUAUCUAUUUAAAAUCUUAAGUUAUAACAUGUUGAAAAUUGGAAAUGAAUUCAUCCUUAAUAUUACGAAUAAUUGUUAUAGGGUGGAAUCAGUUGAUGCUUAUAGAAGACCAUGUCUUCAAGCUGACUAGC